GAAAGAGGUAGAAUUUCUCUCUUUUGUCUUCUUUGGAGUUUUUCUACAAAAUUCAUUAUCUACGAAAAUCUAAACGUUCAAACUCAAAUCCGACUUCGGUAACGUAAUCUAUGAAACCUGAUCUACGUUUCUACCGAUUGGUUUGAGGAUUUGUUGUGAGAAGCUUGCUAAACACUCUCCAAGUGUUGGAUUUACAUUUGGUGGAAUUUUUGUAAUGCAUUGUAUGGUGGUGUCUAAGAGACCUAGUGCUUAAUAUCCACGCAGCCAAGACAUUGAUGCUUUGGUUGCGGGUUCUGUGGAUAUAGAUAUUGACUUGUCUACCUAGCGUAUGGGAUACUAUGAUUGGAGCACAACGCAACAAUCAUAAGUUACGGACUCAUGGGUGGUCCACAUUUUGGGUAUUUUAUUUAUGGCUCCUGUCCUACGUGGCACAUAUAUUUAUUGAGCUUGUAUUUUAGUAUAUAAUUGUGUAAUAUGUUUUAUAAGCCUUAAAUAGAUAGACUUGUAAAUGGCUCUUCUUGUUGUAAUUAUCUGUUUUGUAUUAGAUGUAUUUCCGCUAUUGAUAUGUGUUCCGCUGCACAUUGAUAUUUAUAUUCCACCGUGUUAGAUGUAACUCUGAAUAUCAGGUACAUGUUAUGGAACGUGUACGUUAUGUUGGCUGAGCAACAAGUAGUCGUGCCACUGUGAAGAUCCAUUUAUGUAUGUUUAAAAAAAAAAAUGGGUC